rnacentral:piRNA from 1 species
UUCCAUUGGUGUUUCUUUUCU